UGGGGAAUAUUGCACAAUGGGCGCAAGCCUGAUGCAGCAACGCCGCGUGAGGGACGACGGCCUUCGGGUUGUAAACCUCUUUUAGUAGGGAAGAAGCGAAAGUGACGGUACCUGCAGAAAAAAGCACCGGCUAACUACGUGCCAGCAGCCGCGGUAAUACGUAGGGUGCGAGCGUUGUCCGGAAUUAUUGGGCGUAAAGAGCUCGUAGGCGGUCUGUCGCGUCUGCUGUGAAAACCCGAGGCUCAACCUCGGGCCUGCAGUGGGUACGGGCAGACUAGAGGUGCGGUAGGGGAGAAUGGAAUUCCUGGUGUAGCGGUGGAAUGCGCAGAUAUCAGGAGGAACACCGAUGGCGAAGGCAGCUUCGUCCUGGGCCGUAACUGACGCUGAGGGGCGAAAGCGUGGGGAGCGAAC
rnacentral:rRNA from 1 species